rnacentral:rRNA from 1 species
CACAUGCAAGUCGAGCGGUAGAGAGAAGCUUGCUUCUCUUGAGAGCGGCGGACGGGUGAGUAAUGCCUAGGAAUCUGCCUGGUAGUGGGGGAUAACGCUCGGAAACGGACGCUAAUACCGCAUACGUCCUACGGGAGAAAGCAGGGGACCUUCGGGCCUUGCGCUAUCAGAUGAGCCUAGGUCGGAUUAGCUAGUUGGUGAGGUAAUGGCUCACCAAGGCGACGAUCCGUAACUGGUCUGAGAGGAUGAUCAGUCACACUGGAACUGAGACACGGUCCAGACUCCUACGGGAGGCAGCAGUGGGGAAUAUUGGACAAUGGGCGAAAGCCUGAUCCAGCCAUGCCGCGUGUGUGAAGAAGGUCUUCGGAUUGUAAAGCACUUUAAGUUGGGAGGAAGGGCAUUAACCUAAUACGUUGGUGUCUUGACGUUACCGACAGAAUAAGCACCGGCUAACUCUGUGCCAGCACCGCGGUAAUACAGAGGGUGCAACGUUAAUCGGAA